CUUUAGGAUAGAAACGAUGUUCCGCCAACGUUUACAAGUGUUCCUCUACCAAUUAGACUACAAGAUACCGUUCCAUUAGGUACCGUUGUUACAACAGUAGUUGCUACUGAUGCAGAUGGAACUCCUCCCGGAAAUCAAGUUAGAUACGAGUUAAGUGGCAGAGAUAAGGCUCCGUACUACUUUUUAAUUGAUGGUAACAGUGGUGUCGUUUCUGUGAAAGACGAUCUUCGAAAGGAACCAGACUCAGAAUAUCGCAUUGAAGUUAGAGCUCGAGAUCUUGGAGAACCUUCUCUUUCUGCUACAGCCACCAUAACUGUUUAUGUGGAACAUAUCGUUACAAUUCCUCCAAAUUCCGGACUCGGUUUUGCUGAUAGUCAUUACACGUGAGUAGAAAGCCUUAAACAAAUUAUU